rnacentral:rRNA from 1 species
UGCGUAGGCGGACUAAUAAGUCAGUGGUGAAAUCUUUCGGCUCAACCGAGAAACUGCCAUUGAUACUGUUAGUCUUGAGUUCGGUUGAGGUAGGCGGAAUGUGUAAUGUAGCGGUGAAAUGCUUAGAUAUUACACAGAACACCAAUUGCGUAGGCAGCUUACUAGACCGACACUGACGCUGAGGCACGAAAGCAUGGGGAGCGAACAGGAUUAGAUACCCUGGUAGUCC